rnacentral:misc_RNA from 1 species
UCUCCGUUGGUGAACCAGCGGAAGGAUCAUUACCGAGUUUUUACAGCUCAGCCAAAAACCCCUGUGCGCUCAUACCCCGACUCUUUCUUCGACGAACGGGUAGUGCUCUCCCGCGCGGGGGCUCGAGCUCCUGUAUUGGCUGUCUUUUUUGCGCAUCGGAACGGUGAGAAGACAUCAACGGAUCAAAACUUUCAACAAUGUAGCUCGUGGUUCUUGCAUCGAUGAAUACUGCAGCAGAUCUGAUGAACACACCUCUGAACUACCAUCACGCGUAUCUAU